rnacentral:sRNA from 1 species
UUGUUGUUUUUAUUCGCAGAAGGAUCCAGUCCCGGGUGCGAUGCCCUACAUUUACACCAAGGCCGGGCGACGAUGCCGCCGGCGCGACGGGGCGUCGGUCGAUUUGAACUGAUUCCGUCGGAGGGGGUUAGGGUGCUGUGUUGGGACGCGAUGACGAAGGUUGUGAGUAGCAGAAACACAAAUG